UCCAGGUGGUAGAACCACUUCUGUUUCAAAGAUGGACUGGGGAAAGACAUUAAGUUUGGAGCAGCUCAGGGCUACGGAUUUAGCCUUUCUCCCUCGGGUCUCCAGACUCACUUAGGUCCAAGCUGCGGAGCAGGGACAGCGGAGCUCAGGCAGCCACGCUCAGGCCCAGCCACCAGGUAGGAGAACCCGAUCCAACUCUAGGCUCGGAGAAGGGCAAGCCAGGCCGCACCGGGAUCCGGCCCCGGGACCGCAGAAUCUAUGUGGACCUGGUUGACCUGGAACUUGCUAAGAGACCAGGAUGGCCUUGAAUUUACAGUGAUCUACCUGCCACUGUCUCCCGGUUGCUGAGAUUAAAGCUGCUGAGAACCAGAAGGCGCCGGCUCCUUUGAAAGAGCCUUCCCCUAGAUUGCUUUGCCACUGCUCUGGAUCCCCUUGAACAGUGGUCCCUGAACACCGACUUCAAGAAGACUCCAUGGAUGGCUGUCCAGUCUUAUCCACUGCAGUUUCCCCUCUGCAUUUCCUUCUUCACUUCCUUCACCCCAGUGAGGCACGCAGUAGGGGCAGAUCAUAGAUGAAGCAGCAGACAACAGGUUGAAGGACUGACCUCUGAGAGUGCCAACAGUCAACAGUGUGCUGUCAGAUCCAGAGAUAAGAAGAAAACGUGUUAUGUGGAAGGGGGAGAACAGUCUGAUAGUUCUUUAGAGGCUGAGAGUGAGGAACGGUCAAAUUUGGGAGAAUUACGGCAGGGCUCCUGUGUUGUCCCUACUGGGUUAUGUAAUCUGAGUGUUCCUGCUCGACUGUGAUUGAGAGAGGCUGUAUGUUCCCGUGGUCCUGCUCAGCGCUUGUCCUUUAAUAAGAGACAACACCCAUUAGUCUCUAUAUUGUUUCUCUGCACUUUUUAUCUGGGAGACAUUGACUAUCUUGUAGGAUAAAAGUCCAUGGUAAGAAGAGUUCAAACCCUCAUGAACUUUUUGUCUGUAGACCAGGUGGUGACAUCAUGUUUUGAGUUAAUUAGAGCAACGGAAUCACAGGGUGGGACUGAAUUCAUUGGAAAUAUUUGAUUGAAACAUGGCAUUGCUAAUUAUGCAUCAGAGAACAUUAUGGAACAUGAUUGGAUUCAUGAAGCACACACUCCUGGUCAUAUGUAGCAACCUAGCAACCAGCUAAAUACAGCAUAGACUCUUCAGAGACUAGGAGAGGUAGACAUGGUUCUUUUCCCAUGGAGCUUACACAUUUGAAAAGCAGCCGCUAUCACAUGUGAGCUGCCGCAGAGAUGUUCUUGAGCACAGGCCUCUAGUGGGGGAGGAGUUCCUAGUGCUGGAGUCGUCAUGGUCACUGGCCAAGUACCUCUAAGCCUACAUUUUAUAACCAGUCUGUGAAUGCAGACUGCUAUUUUCUAGCAAAAGUCCAGGGAUGGCAGGGGAAGUGCUUGAGAUGUACAGGGCUUCUGGAGUGGGAAAUAUGAAAUUAUUUUUACCAGGAAAACAAAAAGGGAUAGGAUUCAGAACCAACUGUUGCUUCUAUUCUAUGGGGGAAACUACAGUAUGAAAUAUGCUGGGCUGGGAAACUUCGACGCCUUGGUUUUAGUACCUUCUUUCCUUUUCUUCCUUCCUUCCCUUCUUCCUCCCUCCCUCCCUUCUUCCUCUCUCUCUCUCCCUUCUUCCUUCCUUCUUUCCUCCCUUCCCCUUCCUCCCUCCCUGCCUUCUUCCUUCCCUCUUUCCUUUCCUCCCUCCCUCCCUUCCCCCUCCCCUUCCUCCCUCCCUCUUUCUUUUCCUUUCCCUUCCCUCCCUCCCCUUUUCUUCCUCCCCCCUCUCUCUCUCCCUCCUUCCUUCCUGCCUUCCUUCCUUUUCUUCUUCCUUUUUCUUCCUCCUCCUCCUCCUCCUCCUCCUCCUCCUCCUCCUCCUCCUCCCCCUCUUCUUCUCCUCCUCCUCCUCUUCUUCUCCUCCUCCUCCUACAAAAAAGCCAUGUGACUGUAAGCAAGCCAUUUCCCAUUCCCUGCAGAUAUCUCUUGAGAGGCUGUAAACCCCUUCUAGCUCAGAAAGUCUUAACAUCAGGCCCUCAGGCUACAGUGGUCAGUUUCAAAACACCCUGCCCUCAGUUGCUGGAUCAUAUAUAUUCAGCAGUUAUAUAAACCUUUUAUUUUUUUGAGGGAAUAUCUGUUUUAUCAAUUUUUAUUUUUGGUUUUCGAGGCAGGAUUUCUCUGUAGCUUUGGAACCUGUCCUAAAACUAGCUCUUGUAGACCAGACUGGCCUUGAACUUACAGAAAUCCUCCUGCCUUUGCCUCCUGAGUGCUGGGAUUAAAGGCAUGCGCCACCACCACCUGGCUUUGUUGUAUCAGUUUUUAAGUACGUGUCAAGUUCUUUUCUGGAGUUAAGAGGAUGCUAACUCUAUGUCCUCCUUCAUGUUGCCUGCUGCCUUUGCUCCUGUCCUUUGUUCCCAUCCCCAUGGAACUUAUGCUCUGUAUGUAUGUAUGUAUGGUCAGGCGUGUAUUGGCUUUGGAGGUACACGAUGAACCUCACUUUUCCAGAGAGUCUUCCCUUUCCUUUUACCUUCUGACAUUUUCUUUAGAGGGAACCAGUUGCAGUGUGCUGUGGCACCCCACCCUUGAGGUAACCACCUGCAAGCAAGUGCCUCAUACUGACUAAGCAAUUUUGUUGAACCCUAAGAUUCAUAUCCAAGUAACCACUCAAAUCCAGGGUUACCACAAAGAGAACUUUCUCCAGGUAUAAGGAAGAGAAAUCUUUUACUUCCAGGAUAUGUGCAGAAAGACCACCUUCCAGCCUGUGUAGAACAAUCAAUAUGCUACUCCCUACAGGCCAUCCUUGACCAGGUAGAGAGAAUCUAAACCCAAAAUACUUCUCCAUAAAUAGAUAGACUUCCUACACACUGUAUUUCUCUGUAUCAUCCCAAUGGCUUGUCACUUCUCAAAAAAAAAAAAAAUGGAAAAAUGCUAAUCAGACAAAAAUGUUGCUGUGAUCUCUGACCUCAUUGGGAAUCCUUUUAGCAAUUUCUCAUUUCUAUUUCAUUAUCAACAAGUCCACUGAAUACUUGUCUCUAAAUCCAGGACAUAUUUUAUGGAUACAUAAAACAAUGAAAUUUCAUGUUCAGAGCUGUUGACAUAUACUAUUUGUUUCGAAUAUUUUUAUUGUAAGGAAUGACUUAGCAUUUCAUUUUAAUGACCUAAGUGGUAAAAUGAAUGACUCUUGACUUUCAAUUUUCUUUUUCUGUUAAAGUCAAGUAAUAUGCACCUCUGGUAAUGUCUAUCUUUUUCUAUGAAUUAUAGGCUCUAAAUGUCUGUGUUGCCUUUCUUUUUUCUUUAAAUUGCAACACAAUUUUUUUUUAAAAAAAUAGUUUAUUUUUAUUUUUUCUGCACUGGUGUUUUGCUUGUGUGUAUAUCUGUAUGAGCAUAUAGGGUCCUCUUGAACUGGAGUUGUAGACAGUUGUGAGCUAACAUGUGGAUGCUAGGAAUUGAACCCAAGUCCUCUGGAAGAGCAGUCAGUGCUCUUAACUGCUGAACCAUCUCCCCAACCCCUUUAUUGUGUUUCUUUAUGUAGGUGUUUAUCAGUACUAAGGAUAAUAUUUGUUUUUUCUUCUUGUCUUUAUUUUCUACCUAGCAGUUAUAUAAAAGACAGUAUAAAAUUUAUGAAAUAGACUUUUCUGAUAGGAGUUAGAGAAAUAAGGGGCCAAGAUAAACAAAACAAA